UAAAUUGACAGGGGCGCAGGGGCCGUUCAGACUAAAGGCUGAUCUGGGGAAGCUGGUGGAAAUCCGGCACGGUCGCGCCACUGUAAUCCGCUUGCUGCAAGCGGGAAGUCAGACCUCCAGCCUUGUUUUUCUGUU
rnacentral:ncRNA from 1 species